GUAGUCAUAUGCUUGUCUCAAAGAUUAAGCCAUGCAUGUCUAAGUAUAAGCAAUUAUACCGUGAAACUGCGAAUGGCUCAUUAAAUCAGUUAUCGUUUAUUUGAUAGUACCUUACUACUUGGAUAACCGUGGUAAUUCUAGAGCUAAUACAUGCUAAAAACCCCGACUUCGGGAGGGGUGUAUUUAUUAGAUAAAAAACCAAUGCCCUUCGGGGCUCUUUGGUGAUUCAUGAUAACUUAACGGAUCGCAUGGCCUUGCGCCGGCGACGGUUCAUUCAAAUUUCUGCCCUAUCAACUUUCGAUGGUAAGGUAUUGGCUUACCAUGGUUUCAACGGGUAACGGGGAAU
rnacentral:rRNA from 1 species